UUGUUGUGACAGGUAAAUAAUGCUCUUGUGUUUUCUUGUAUGAUCAGAGCGGCGCUAUGUUUUAUCACAUUUCGCUGGAACAUGAGAUUCUAUUGCAUCCACGCUAUUUUGGACCGAACCUCCUCAACACAGUCAAACAGAAACUUUUCACAGAGGUGGAAGGAAAAUGUCCUGGAAAGUAUGGCUUCGUCAUCGCGGUAACAACAAUAGACAAUAUAGGUGCCGGGUACAUUCAGCCCGGACGGGGCUUUGUCGUCUAUCCAGUUAAAUACAAGGCAAUCGUGUUUCGUCCGUUCAAAGGAGAAGUUGUUGAUGCUGUUGUGACACAGGUGAACAAGGUUGGACUAUUUACAGAAAUUGGACCUUUAUCAUGCUUUAUUUCACGACAUUCCAUACCAUCUGACAUGGAGUUUGAUCCAAACUCGAAUCCACCAUGUUACAAGACACACGAUGAGGAAGUUGUCAUCCAAGAAGCAGACGACAUCAGAGUUAAGAUCAUUGGCACACGAGUGGACGCCACAGAUAUUUUUGCUAUUGGAUCUCUCAUGGAUGAUUACUUGGUUGCGUUUGAAGUGUGGUUGUUGAUCCUCUGAGCAUGUUUUUGAUUUCACUCGAGUUCUUUGUUGCCCACUGACUAGUCACUAGAGUCUGGUGAGCUGAGCAGCGGACCAGGGCUUGAUUGAUCGGGAGAUUUUCUGACCUCAUCCAGCAACGUGUCCGUCUGCGUUGGCUACGGGCCAAUACAGCCAGGUGGGAGUCGGCCUCAGUCCAGCAAACCCAGCGUGACGGCCCGGAUUCUGUCUGAAAUGAUCAACAACUAACGCACUCGCGGAUAGAAAUCACACAUGCACACAUGCACACAAGCGCGCGCACGCACGCACGGUUUUGAUUAAUCGGACUGAUGCAUACUCAAGGUUGACCACUUUAAUAAUUGUCCUGUCAGAAAACGACGAUGGACAUCUUCCCAGUCGAUAAUUGAUCUCUUGCACCGAUGUUAGGUCGAACGUUUUUUUCGCGGCGAUGGUGCUGAAUAGUAAAAAACAGUCGACUCUAUCUUCGAUACCCGCUGGCGCUGGAGGAUCUCGUGAGUAAAGCAAUGAAGUCGCACCAUAAUCACGACACACUCCUGUGGCGACGUCGCUCUGUACGUCAGUCGCCAGUCUGUACUUCUUCUUUUUGAGAAAAUCGUGUUUUACGUUGUGUCGACGAAUCGAAAUAAAUUGUCAAUAAAAGAUGCGUUUUGCUCUAGUUA